GAUGAAGAACGCAGCGAAAUGCGAUAAGUGAUGCGAAACGCAACUUUUGUGAGUCAUCGAAUCUUUGAACGCAGAUUGCGCCCCUUGGUAUUCCAUGGGGCAUGCCUGUUCGAGCGUCAUUUGUACCCUCAAGCUAUGCUUGGUGUUGGGUGUUUGUCCUCUCCUUUGCGAUUGGACUCGCCUUAAAGACAUUGGCAGCCAGUGUAUUGGUCUUGAAGCGCAGCACAUUUUGCGAUUCUUGCUGAUAAUCACUAGCGUCCAGUAAGCCUAUUUUAACACUUUUGACCUCGGAUCAGGUAGGGAUACCCGCUGAACUUAAGCAUAUCAAUAAGCGGAGGA
rnacentral:misc_RNA from 1 species